GGAAAAAGAGGGAGAGGGGCGGGGAAUGGGAGACAGAUACAGUAUAGAAUUAAGGUGAAAGGGGGAUUAAGCUAUUCAGGACUGAAACGCUUCUUAGACACUCGGGAUCGAAGAUUUUCUUCUACCUUGGUUUUGAGUCUCCUGAUUCUAGUGAACCUAGAAUUACAAUUGAAGGUCACCUGAAACACUCAAGAUCAUGUCAAAUUCAGUGAGUUAUUACCAAAACUUCCAUGUGAUACAGCUGCAGUGCUUUACAGAGAUCUACAGCUGGAACAUUCAGGAAGAAAAUAACCUGAUUAAUAGCUUGUACAUAUAAUGGAAUGCAAUGUUUCCCUGACAAUCUUUUGGGAUUAUAUGGUGGAAGAUUUCUCAAUUGUUUAGACAUAGAAUAUUCUUUCCUGUACUUUACAUUAUUUAUUCUGUAAUUACUCCACCAGUUAAUUUUCUGCUGUAUAUGUCAGAUUAAAUAUUUAUAUUUAUCUAUUUAACAAUUAGCAAAGCACAAAACCAUUAAAAAUAUUCGUCAGUAUGUAGCACAGGAUACCAUAGUGGAAAAUUAAAUCAAGAAGUAGUAGCCAUAGCAUUACUUUACAAAAAAAGUCACUAAGGAACUUAAUACCAGAGUAUGUGAUGAUUGCAAGAUAUUAUGACACAAGCUAAAAUUAAAGAUUUUGAAGACAUUGAUAUAAAUCCAGUUUUGUAAUAGCUGUGGUGUGAUUCACCAAGUCAGGAAUGUUAAUGCAAUUUUCCAAGCAAUCUGAACUAUUAUGACAACCAUGCCUAGUUACUCAUACCCAUUGCCUGAAUGAGCAUAAGCAGGACAGUUUUAAUGUUGAUGCAAUAAAUACCUUCCAAAUAUCCGGACCUGAUUUGCACUACCUUACUUUCCCUUUUCUAUUUUCUAGUUAUGAUUUAUUAUUUAAAUUUUUAUUAUAUUUACUUUGAUUUGUACUUUAGUGAGCGCGAAGCACAGAAUCAAAUAUCGCUGUGAUGAUUGUACGCUCUGGUAUCAAUUGUUCGGUGACAAUAAAAGUAAAGUAAAUUGUAAUGAAUAACACAUGCAGUACUCUUUUGACCUAAAACUAAAUGUAGCUUUGAGCCUGUGGAGAAGCAUAAACCAAUCCUUACCUUAUUGGGAGAUUUUAUUUCUCGAGACAUGGGCUCCAUUGUGUCCCACUAAGGGGGGCACAUUGGAACUGAAAAAUUUUCAGACACAAAAAAAAUUCUAUCAGUCAAAAUGUGCUAGUUGAUUGAAUCUAACAGUGUCCAUGAGGUUGACCUGCUCUUGUAGUUUUAGGCUUUAUAAUAUUUUUGCACAGGUAGUGGAAGUUGGCGCCACAGCAAUAGAAACUCUGCACCUGCAAUGUAAGUGAAAAGAGACCUCAGCAGAAUUUACUCAUAAAUGUUGAGUUUGAAAUACUUUAAAAUUAAGAGCAAAAGUACAAAAUAAAAACCUGGAGAGGGGAAUUAGAAUCAGAUAAUAGAAGAAUGUGGAAAUAAUUUUCAGUGCCAAUGAUGGCAUUGUUAAGAGAACUUGCACAUGAACAAAGAACAACAAGGAAGGCCCUUCAGCAUACCACGUUUGCACAGACAGUUACACCAUUCUAACUAAUCUCAUCUUCCUGCACAUGCUACGUAUCUCCCUAUUCCCUCCCUGUUCAUGUAUCUAUUCAAAUGUCUCUUAAACACUGCUAUCAUUUCUGUUUCUACCAUCUCCCCUGGCUAGGCAUUCCAGGCACCUCUCACUCUAAAAAUAUACUUGCCUUAAGUGUUGUCUUUAAACUGUCCCCCUCUCACCUUAAACCUGUGCAUUGUGGUAGCUCACAGCUUGGAGAGAGAUUUUCAUCUUAACAUUACUUUGAGAGCAUCCAGUUAUGACCUCUCACUUCUGGUUCGUAACAACUGCCCACACCGACAAUGUGCAUUUAAUACACUGCAUAGUCACAGUAAUAUCCUGAUUAGCUCUAACCUGUAAUAUUGGACUUCUGGUCAAGGUGGCACCUGCAUACAAUGCUCCUUCGAACGACAUCUUCUGAAUAGGUCAUGAAACUAUAUAUUUAAGUUCUUUUAUGCAUGUUUAUUGUCUUGAUUCUGAUUCUGGAACUGCUGGAACCUGUGAUUUGCAGUUUGGAGAUUGUUCGGGUGUUCCAGCACUCUGCAGUCUCCGAGAAGAUUCUGGAACACAGAGACUCCAUGAGGGAACCUCGCGGCAAGAAGGCUGAGGGAUGGGGUGUGAGCUGAUGUUUGACUCCACUUAGCCAAUUAAAGCUUCCGUUGUUCACUGAUUAAAGUGAUGAGGAAGAUUGAAGCAUUGAGGCGAACCUGGAGAGAGGGCUGCCAGCCUGUUGAUCUCCGCAGGAAAUCACUCUGCUGCCGAAGAAGGGAGACUAUCUUUCUAAAUCACUGGUGAGCUUGCUACAGAGAGGGAAAGGCCUGCCACUUCCCAGAGAAUGUUAAGCAGUUUUUCUGCAUUUUGGAUAUGGACUUGGAAUAUAAACGUUUUCCAGUCUUAUAGUUUUAUAUGUUCUGUGUUUCUGCCCCA